ACGGUGUCGAUUUGGGGAUUGGGGUUUAGCCUGGUGCCCGAAGCUAACGUGAUAAAUCGACCGCCUGGGGAGUACGGCCGCAAGGUUAAAACUCAAAUGAAUUGACGGGGGCCCGCACAAGCGGUGGAGCAUGUGGUUUAAUUCGAUGCAACGCGAAGAACCUUACCUACUCUUGACAUCCGAAGAAGAACUCAGAGAUGGGUUUGUGCCUUAGGGAGCUUUGAGACAGGUGCUGCAUGGCUGUCGUCAG
rnacentral:rRNA from 1 species